AUAAAUUCAAAAAAGAAAGAUUACCCUUAGUUGAGGUCAAGAGAUAAAGGAAGUUCAAUGCAAGUUCAGCAAAGUAAGGAACCACAAGUUUUCAUCAAGGGUUCAACAGAUACCCAGUGCAGAGACUGAGGAAAACCAAGACAUGAAUAGGAAGAGGCCAUUGUCUGAAGGGUCUGAGUCAGGGGAAGAUGAUUACAGCAUUGGGGUCCACUUGGAAAAAAUGAAAACAGAAUGCUUGAAAAAAACACCAAAUAUCAAACUUUUAGUGGACUACAUGGCACGGACAAGGAAUGAGAGGACAGACUUCAUAAAACAUAACCCCAUAAAGGAUACAUUAACACGAUA